AGUGGAUGCACAAGAAAAUUAUGAUGUUGUCAUCAUUAAUAGACGAAGCUCUAAAGGGGUAACAGAGGGAGUUCAAGAGGAGUAUGAUGAUGUGGUGAGUGUUAGUGAACAUGUGAAAAACCUGUAGGAUUACAAGGAUGUGGAGGAGUCCUCAAAUGAAUAAGGGGGCAAUUUGGCUCAAUGAUCAGACCCACUGCCUCAGUUUAACAAAUCUGAACAAAGUUUGAGUGAUAUUGUUAUUGAUAUUUUUCCGGAUUUGUUUUUUGUAUUAAAACUUUUAUGUGUGAGGUAUUGCUGUAUUGUUUUGACCUUAACAUCA